UGAAGUUCAGACAAGGCUCGAAGA
rnacentral:piRNA from 1 species